CGUGUAGGUGGUUAGAUAAGUCAGAUGUGAAAGCUUCCGGCUUAACCGGAAAACUGCAUUUGAAACUGUUUAGCUUGAGUGUGAGAGAGGGUAGCGGAAUUCCCAGUGUAGCGGUGAAAUGCGUAGAUAUUGGGAAGAACACCAGUAGCGAAGGCGGCUACCUGGCUCGCAACUGACGCUAAUGCGCGAAAGCGUGGGGAGCAAACA
rnacentral:rRNA from 1 species